GGAGGAUCCAAGCGUUAUCCGGAAUCAUUGGGUUUAAAGGGUCCGUAGGUGGAUAAUUAAGUCAGAGGUGAAAUCCUGCAGCUCAACUGUAGAAUUGCCUUUGAAACUGGUUAUCUUGAGUCAUUAUGAAGUGAUUAGAAUGUGUAGUGUAGCGGUGAAAUGCAUAGAUAUUACACAGAAUACCGAUUGCGAAGGCAGAUCACUAAUAAUGUACUGACACUGAUGGGACGAAAGCGUGGGUAGCGAACAGGAUUAGAUACCCUGGUAGUCCCACGCCCGUAAACGAUGGUCACUAGCUGUUUGAACUUCGGUUUGAGUGGCUAAGCGAAAGUGAUAAGUGACCCACCUGGGGAGUACGUUCGCAAGAAUG
rnacentral:rRNA from 1 species